rnacentral:lncRNA from 1 species
UUCAAAAGGGCUAUGUAAUUUUUUUUUGUUUUUCCCUAUUUUGAUGUUCCUUCUUGUAGAUACCAACUCUUGAAUCAAGAGAGAACAGUUUUCUUCUUCAUAUGAAUCAUCGACAAUUAGAUUCAAUUUAAUGCGAGUUAAUAUGUGCGGUUAUGAACUCUUUCGAUUGAAUCUAUUUUCUAUAAAAUUAUAACUCGAGCCGAGUACUAAACAAUGAUGUGACGUCCACAUCAGUAAAUUAACAGAUUUUA